AUCCUUCUAUACUUUGUAAGUGUAAUGACUGGGCAUUCAUACUGUCAUGUGAGAUGUGCCUCCCUUAAACCUUGGCACAACACUGCCAUAAUACCUGUCUGACA